UACGUAGGUGGCAAGCGUUGUCCGGAUUUACUGGGCGUAAAGGGCAUGCAGGCGGUCGGACGCGUUUCGGGUGACAGCGGGUGGCUUAACUACCCGAGUGGUCGAAAGACGGUUUGACUUGAGGACGCGAGAGGGACACGGAAUUCCGGGUGGAGUGGUGAAAUGCGUAGAGAUCCGGAGGAACACCGAAGGCGAAGGCAGUGUCCUGGCGCGUAACUGACGCUGAGGUGCGAAAGCCAGGGGAGCGAACGGG
rnacentral:rRNA from 1 species